rnacentral:rRNA from 1 species
CCUACGGGAGGCAGCAGUGAGGAAUAUUGGUCAAUGGGCGAGAGCCUGAACCAGCCAAGUCGCGUGAAGGAUGACGGCCCUACGGGUUGUAAACUUCUUUUGUCAGGGAGCAAUUUGGUCCACGCGUGGGCUUCGCGAGAGUACCUGCAGAAAAAGCCUCGGCUAACUCCGUGCCAGCAGCCGCGGUAAUACGGAGGAUUCGAGCGUUAUCCGGAUUUAUUGGGUUUAAAGGGUGCGUAGGCGGAAUAUCAAGUCAGCGGUAAAAUUUCGGGGCUCAACCCCGUCGUGCCGUUGAAACUGAUGUUCUGGAGUGGGCGAGAGGUAGGCGGAAUGCGUGGUGUAGCGGUGAAAUGCAUAGAUAUCACGCAGAACUCCGAUUGCGAAGGCAGCAUACCGGCGCCCAACUGACGCUGAAGCACGAAAGCGUGGGUAUCGAACAGGAUUAGAUACCCCUGUAGUC